UGGGGAUGACGUCAAGUCCUCAUGGCCCUUAUGGGUAGGGCUUCACACGUCAUACAAUGGUCGGUACAGAGGGUUGCCAAGCCGCGAGGUGGAGCCAAUCCCAGAAAGCCGAUCGUAGUCCGGAUUGUUCUCUGCAACUCGAGAGCAUGAAGUCGGAAUCGCUAGUAAUCGCGGAUCAGCAUGCCGCGGUGAAUACGUUCCCGGGUCUU
rnacentral:rRNA from 1 species